GACGAACUGUGCAAACGUUAUUCGGAAUCACUGGGCUUGAAGAGUGCGUAGGCGGUUUCGUAAGUAGGGCGUGAAAGCCCCCGGCUCAACCGGGGAAUUGCGUCCUAAACUGCGAGGAUGGAGUGAGGUAGGGGUGUGUGGAACUUCCAGUGGAGCGGUGAAAUGUGUUGAUAUUGGAAGGAACGGCGGUGGCGAAAGCGACACACUGGACCUUGUCUGACGCUGAGGCACGAAAGACAGGGGAGCAAACGGG
rnacentral:rRNA from 1 species